rnacentral:rRNA from 1 species
GAUGAACGCUGGCGGCGUGCCUAAUACAUGCAAGUCGAGCGAACAGAUGAGGAGCUUGCUCCUCUGACGUUAGCGGCGGACGGGUGAGUAACACGUGGAUAACCUACCUAUAAGACUGGGAUAACUUCGGGAAACCGGAGCUAAUAACGGAUAAUAUAUUGAACCGCAUGGUUCAAUAGUGAAAGACGGUUUUGCUGUCACUUAUAGAUGGAUCCGCGCCGCAUUAGCUAGUUGGUAAGGUAACGGCUUACCAAGGCAACGAUGCGUAGCCGACCUGAGAGGGUGAUCGGCCACACUGGAACUGAGACACGGUCCAGACUCCUACGGGAGGCAGCAGUAGGGAAUCUUCCGCAAUGGGCGAAAGCCUGACGGAGCAACGCCGCGUGAGUGAUGAAGGUCUUCGGAUCGUAAAACUCUGUUAUUAGGGAAGAACAAAUGUGUAAGUAACUAUGCACGUCUUGACGGUACCUAAUCAGAAAGCCACGGCUAACUACGUG